rnacentral:lncRNA from 12 species
ACCCUCGGGGAAGUGGCCGCUCGCGGCCCAGGUGAGGAGCGGGCGGGAGGGCCGGCGGAGCAGGUGGCAGUGCGAGGGCGGGAGCUGACCGGGUGCUUCUACCUCGCAGCCCUCCGACGCGGAGGGGAACUCGAAACGUCCGGGCCAGGGGCCUGGGAACUCCUCCCGUGUGUCUGAGAUUGGAGAGGGACAUGGGGGCCGACGCAGGCGCUGACCCCGGCCCUGCCGGGGACGCGGGCUCUGCGGGCUUAGGGACCUAAAGCUUCCCCGGAGUCAGCCUGAGCGGGGCAGAGGUCGAGCCUUUGCUGGGGUCUCUGCAGCCGCGGGUGGGCUCCUGGCUGUGCGCCACUCCCCGUGUGCCCCAUUUGUCGUGCCGUGAGACGAGUGGCACCCGAGCCCUCACCACGGGAGAGGUGAACGGGUAAGGGCGGAAGGACUAACACGGAGACCCUGGGGUCCUAGCCGAGGCGCUCAGGAUGGCGAGGGGUGUGUGGCCGGUGCUACCCCCGAGGAAGAGCUCCACAGAACAGGGCUUGGCGGGAGCCAGAAGCGGCGGUGCGCCGGGCCUUCCCGCCUCCGCACUUCACAGCUGCCUUCCUGUCUGAAUUCAACUGGCCGGAGCGUCCACGGUUUCAGGGGUGCCCAGCCUUGCACUCUGCUUGCAGCCCCAGACGGAGAAGGCACUCUCCGCCCUGCUCUGUUUCUCCCUGAACUGAAUGCAGCCUCCACUGUUUCCGGCCCUAGAGCCCAGGGAAGCUGGCUGUGACCCAGCUAACUUUGGAGGACAACGGGGCCCACAGGCUCUGAUUUCUGGCCCAGCGAGUUCACAGAGUGGUGUGGCAAGGCUGUUUGUUCCCUGUGCUGCUCACAGUCAAGGUCUCCGGGUGCCCACGACCACUCCCUGCUCUGGAGCGGGUCCUGAGAGCGUCGGGGCACUCUCAACCAAGACGUCCCAGGAAUGCGAACCAUGUAGUCGAUUUCGAACAAACCCCAGAUGUUUGGAAACCUACUUCCUUCACAGGCAGGAGGACAUGGUUCCUUGCAGAUGGACAGCCUCUUGGGAGGGCCCCAAAAGAUUUCUCGUCCCUAAUCUACAUCCCCGAGUCCUGGGUGGGGCAACUAUCUCUCCAGAGCGCGCAGAUGCGUGCGCGACGGCACCUGGGGCCUGCCACGUGCAGUUGGGGGCGUAAUCAGGAAUAUUUUUGUUUGUUUUGUUUUUAAUUUAAGAGAUCGAAGCUGUGGGCCUGAGCUCCCCAUUUGAAUUCCCGGGGAGGAGGUUGGCUCCAGCCAGGAUCCCGGGCCCAAGCCGGCUGUCACGAAGUGCAGGAAGCCCCCGAAUGCUGCUUCCCCCGCUGCGCGCACGGUGGCCGGGACUACGCGGCGGCUCCGCAGCGGGGCUCCUGCAGCUGCGCGCGGGCUCCGGCUUCUACUGCGGGAGUAGCGAACCGAAUCGUUCCCACGCUUCCUCUCCAUCCCGGACCUCUCAACACCCGCCAACGAAUGCCGCAGCCGGUUUGCGCCGACGCCGACCCCUGCGCGGGUCCUGCGCCGCCCGGAGCGGGGACUUCGCGCGGCGCUCACGCUCGGGCCGCCCGCCUGCGCGCCGGGAGCCACCGCGUUCCCCCGAGCGCCCGGCCCAGCAGCGCCGCGGAGCUUCGCGCCGCGGAGGUGGUGCCGUGGCUCCGAAGGACGCUACCCGCGUGGACGCGGCCGCCUCCUGCCCCGGUUCCCGCUGAGCUCCGGCAGGGCCGUGGCGGCCACGGAAAAGGCAAGCCGGGUCGCUAUCCCGGCGCCCGAGUCCCGGGG